GAAACAAGCUGGUGGUGGGAGCGGAUAGAAGAAAAUGAAGACGGCUCCAAACCUGGGGAGCGCGCAAGAAGAUGACACAAACUUUUGAAAUAACAUGAACACGGACUUUGUAGAUGUGAUUAAAGCUAAUUAUUUUGAGAUGGGGAUGUGAUCCCAAAUUAUUCCAUGGAUUCUAAGUAAUCACAAAAAAUCCUUAUAACAGGGACAAGGGGAGUCAGAGGCAGAAGAGAAGGUGUUGUGAUGACAGAAGCAGAGAUCUGAGUGACUCACUUUGAAGAUGGAGGAAGAGGUCACAGGCCAAGUGAUACAGAUGCCAGGAGAAGCUGAAAACAGGAGGAAAUGGAUUCUUCCCUCAGAGCUUCUGGAAAAGAUCAGUCUUGCUGAUAACUUGACUUUAGCCCACUGAAACUGAUUUUGAACUUUUGACUUCCAGAACUGUAAGAGAAUAAUUUUGUGUUAUUUCAGUUACUAAGUUAGUGGCAAUUUGUUAUAGCAGGAAUAGGAAAUUAAUACAGUGCUGAAGUAGAAGUUAUGUUGCAUUUAUAUAUUAGUUUCCUGAAAACUGACACUUUUAUAGUAUUUGUUUUCCCAUUCAAGAACAUAGUUUCCUUUCUUUUGUUCAGACUCUGUUUUACUUUUUUCAAUAAAAUUGUGUGUGUAUGUGUGUGUGUCCCCAUAUGGGAUUUGCUUUUUCUUGCUAUAUUUAUUCUGAAAUAUUUUAUGUUUUACCAUUGUUGUGAAGGAAAUAUUUUUCCAUGUUUCUACUUCUAUGUACUUAUUGUUAAGAUAUAGAAAAAGCUGACCGGGCACAGUGGCUCACACCUGUAAUCCCAGCACUUUGGGGGGCCGAGGCGAGGUUAG
rnacentral:lncRNA from 10 species